rnacentral:rRNA from 1 species
AUUGAACGCUGGCGGCAGGCUUAACACAUGCAAGCCGAGCGGAGAUGAGGUGCUUGCACCUUAUCUUAGCGGCGGACGGGUGAGUAAUGCUUAGGAAUCUGCCUAUUAGGGGGGGACAAGAUUCCGAAAGGAAUGCUAAUACCGCAUACGUCCUACGGGAGAAAGCAGGGGAUCUACGGACAUUGCGCUAAUAGAUGAGCCUAAGUCGGAUUAGCUAGUUGGUGGGGGAAAGGCCUACCAAGGCGACGAUCUGUAGCGGGUCUGAGAGGAUGAUCCGCCACACUGGGACUGAGACACGGCCCAGACUCCUACGGGAGGCAGCAGUGGGGAAUAUUGGACAAUGGGGGGAACCCUGAUCCAGCCAUGCCGCGUGUGUGAAGAAGGCCUUAUGGUUGUAAAGCACUUUAAGCGAGGAGGAGGCUACUGAGACUAAUACUCUUGGAUAGUGGACGUUACUCGCAGAAUAAGCACCGGCUAACUCUGUGCCAGCCGCCGCGGUAACAC